rnacentral:tRNA from 1 species
GCCCGGGUGCUGAAAUUGGUAGACAGGCAAGGUUGAGGGCCUUGUGUCCGUUUAGGACGUAAAGGUUCAAAUCCCUUCCCGGGCACCA